rnacentral:misc_RNA from 1 species
AACGCACAUUGCGCCCUUUGGUAUUCCAAAGGGCAUGCCUGUUCGAGCGUCAUUUGUACCCUCAAGCUUUGCUUGGUGUUGGGCGUCUUGUCUCUAGCUUUGCUGGAGACUCGCCUUAAAGUAAUUGGCAGCCGGCCUACUGGUUUCGGAGCGCAGCACAAGUCGCACUCUCUAUCAGCAAAGGUCUGGCAUCCAUUAAGCCUUUUUUCAACUUUUGACCUCGGAUCAGGUAGGGAUACCCGCUGAACUUAA